AAACAGGAGGCACUAGCGAUAGUGAGAGAACAGAGACGAGAAAAAUCCUAAGCGCCGCAGCCUUACAUCCUCACUAGAGUUAACCAUUUUUUUUCACGUUCUCAUUAUGGAAACCAGCCAUUAAAAUACCAUGUGAUCCUCCAUUAAACAAGCUCCAAAAACCAGCCAAUACCUCCAUUAACAACACAUCCAAACACCUGUGAAAUCCGACCACCAACAAACUCACUUUUAAGUUUUCACCGCUGCGGGUCUUCAAGUUUUCCGGUGAGUUUCGACCUACUGAGUUCACUCAGCGAAGUAGUGGUCAUUAGCUUUCCAUUCAAUCGAGAGUUCUGGGUUGAGGUGUUGUUUGAGAUCAUCCGCUUCGACGGUCUGGUCCAACGUUGCAGAUUCAAGUUUGUCAUCUCAGGUCCAUCUAUAUUUAUCCUCUCUUCUUUAAAAUUUUGGAUGAUUAAUUGCUAUGGUUAUUAUUUGUUGUUAGAUGCCAUGCUUUGACUUCAAUUUUCUUUCCUCUCAAUUAAUGAUUAGUUCUGUCUCGUUCUUGUUAUUAGUCCCCUCGAUGUUAAAUCUACUUUUGAAUGUGGGUGUAUGAGAUAUUAACUUGGAAAAUUAAUUGAAAGUAACAAUAUGAGUUGGCUUUUAAAAGAAGUGUGAAGAAAAUUGGCAUUUUCGCUGUUUUGGGUGUUGAAAUGGGUUUAAGAGAAUUAUUCAGUAGAUAACAUGUUUUAUUGUUAUUUUAUUCACUAAAUACUCGUUGAACGCUAGCAGCAUGCUAGGCCGACUGUAUUUGGGUAGGCAAACCUCUAGGAUGUUCUUGUCUUAGCUUCUUUUGGAGGCGAGAGGUCGUCCCUUAAAUAAAUUCAUCCGGGGAAUGCCCUAUGGACUUUGUAAAUAUUUUAACCCGGGGAAUGCCCCGAAGUACUUUGUAAAUAUUUUAGAGGGCGUGACGCGAUGGUGAAAGAAGCAUAGUGUAGUACUUUAUUUUUAUUUUUCUUUUAUUAGGUGGGUACGACCUCGAGCUCUUUUCUGUGUUUAUUUUUUUGUGUUUGUUUUAGCUCAACUCGAACGUUCUAAAAGCCAACUUGAUUGAGUACGCAAUCGUACUACUUACGGGACUUGGGGUGUGCCUAAAACCUUCUCCCCGAGUUAAAUGAACCCUCUUACCUGUUUUCUCUGGUGUAGACUUGGUUUUAGAGUCCGAAAUAUUUUAAAAGAAAAAAUCAUUUAAGAAAAAAAACGGUAACCUGGCACACCGAAACCGAAUAUUAGGUGGCGUCUCUGAAUUAUUUUCCUUUUAAAAUAAAUUUUUGUCACUUUCAAGAUUGAAAACCCUUUUCAAUCUUUUACUAAAUUUUUUUAGUUAUUUAACUGGAUUUAGUGAGGUUGAUCUAAAAAAAGGGGGUGUGACAGGUGUUAUAAUUUAUUUAAGAUUAAACAAACAUGUUUCUCACAUAUCCUUAAUGAUUGUAGUUUCCUUCUUGAUGCUACUGGAUCGGAGUCUAUAAACCACAUUUAUGAAGAAGACAACUUUGUGGCUGACGUUCUACUAAAGUAUGAAUCUAACAUCCAAUCAACAACGAUGGAGUAAGACAACAUAACCUAUUGGAAAACUCUGUCGGUCUUUAUUUUACAUGCUUUCAAUUAAGACAUAUCUUGUCUAUUCAUAUGUUAUGUAAUAACAAAAACUAGAUCUUUUUCAGUGUUUUAAUAUAAAAUUGCCUCUCCUUAGCAAAGAAAUAAAAAUAAAAAAUCAUACUGUCAGUUGAUGCCACUUAUAAAUCGUCAAUAAAACUGCAUUGAAUGCGCCUUCCUAUAAUAACUAGUGGAAAUUGCUCUUGCUAAGCACGGGCCCAAUAGAACAAUUGUUUCUAAUAGUAUUCAUAAAAUAUUCUCCUACUUCAUCAAUUCUCUAGGAGCCUAAAUUGUCUAAGGAAAAUACCAUGUUCCUUUUCUUUUGACAGUUUUAGAUUGUGGUGCUUUAUAAUCAAGGGAGAGCGUGUGGUUUGGUAUCUUAUACCAAUCUCGAGAGGGAAAUAAUAUUUUUUUCGUACUGUGUAUAUGAACUUCAAGUCAACAUUAUGUAUUCAACAAAAUGCGUCACAGCGUGGGUUUAGGCCACCUCCAAAAAACCUUACAAUAGGCUGAUCACCUCUUUUAUUAUAGUAGAUAGACAAUAUUUUUUGACUACAAUAAAUAUUUUCAAUCAAGCUGACAUUGUAAAUGCACAUGUAAUGUCAUGUACCAGUUGAUACAUGUGGUAAUUUAAUGAAGGAUUUGAAAUAUAUAUUUUUAUUUUACAAUAGAAGAAUGCUUUAUCAAUUCUUUGCGCUUGCCAAUUUGAAAGUAAUCAUUUGAUAUACUGUGCCAUCAUGAAGUCAACACAAAAAAAGAUUAAAUGGCUGAUAGAUUUCUUCGUCAUUUUUCACACAGGUAACAUCUUCUGCAAAUAGAAAGUCCUCUUCUCUGCCGAUUAUCUUGGCUAAGACAUGCUGCCUCCAUAACAUUUCACAUAAAGCAGGGCCUUUUGGUGUGUUGUUUUUGUCUGUGUUAUCUUUUAAGACCAUUUAUUGUCCCAGUUACUAUCUAACUUUUGGAGAAGAUUGUAGCAACUUUGGACGCCUUAUACAGUAAAUAUAUCAUAAUUAGAGUUACUGGUGUAUAAACUCCAUUACUUUUUUACUUUGUUGAAUAAUUCUAUUAAAGAGUUAUUUGUCCGCAAUCACCUUUGAGAUUGUUGUACAAGGCAAGAUUGAGGUUGUCCUACAAUGUAUAUUUGAUCACCAUGAUUGUUUUCAUAGUCAAUGUCCUAAUUAAGUUGGCAAGACUAUAAUGCAUGGUUGAGUUUACUAUCCG
rnacentral:lncRNA from 1 species